rnacentral:tRNA from 1 species
GCAUUGGUGGAAUAGUGGUAAGCAUAGCUGCCUUUCAAGCAGUUGACCCGGAUUCAAUUCCCAGCCAACGCA